AGGAUGAACGCUGGCGGCGUGCCUAAUACAUGCAAGUCGAACGAAGUGCAGCAAUGUACUGAGUGGCGACCGGGUGCGUAACACGUAGCUGACCUGCCCCUCAGCGGGGGACAACUGCUGGAAACGGCAGCUAAUACCGCAUGAGGUCUGGGUGUCCAGAAAGCCCAGACGAAACUUCAGGGGCUGAGGGAGGGGCUGCGGCCCCAUCAGGUAGUUGGUGAGGUAACGGCUCACCAAGCCGACGACGGGUAGGGGGCCUGAGAGGGUGGUCCCCCACACUGGGACUGACAACGGCCCCAGACUCCUACGGGAGGCAGCAGUAAGGGAUAUUGCACAAUGGGCGAAAGCCUGAUGCAGCAACGCCGCGUGCAGGAAGAAGGCCUUCGUGGUCGUAAACUGCUUUUGGAGGGGACGAGGAAGGACGGUACCUUCCGAAUAAGCCACGGCUAACUACGUG
rnacentral:rRNA from 1 species